UUUAUUGAGUCUAAAACGUUCGUAGCCGGUCCGGUAAAUCCUUGGGUAAAUCGGGGGGCUCAACCCUCCGACUUCCGAGGAGACUGCCGGACUUGGGACCGGGAGAGGCUAGAGGUACUUCUGGGGUAGGGGUAAAAUCCUGUAAUCCUGGAAGGACCACCGGUGGCGAAGGCGUCUAGCUAGAACGGAUCCGACGGUGAGGGACGAAGCCCUGGGUCGCAAACGGGAUUAGAUACCCCGGUAGUCCAGGGUGUAAACGCUGCAGACUUGGUGUUGGAGGCCCUUCGGGGGCAUUCAGUGCCGGAGAGAAGUUGUUAAGUCUGCUACUUGGGGAGUACGUCCGCAAGGAUGAAACUUAAAGGAAUUGGCGGGGGAGCACA
rnacentral:rRNA from 1 species